AGGUAAGCUACUAAGAGCGAAUGGUGGAUGCCUUGACUGGUAAAGGCGAUGAAGGACGUACUAGACUGCGAUAAGCUACGGGGAGCUGUCAAGAAGCUUUGAUCCGUAGAUUUCCGAAUGGGGCAACCCAAUGUAUAGAGAUAUACAUUACCUAUAUAGGAGCGAACGAGGGGAAUUGAAACAUCUUAGUACCCUCAGGAAAAGAAAUCAAUAGAGAUUGCGUCAGUAGCGGCGAGCGAAAGCGCAAGAGGGCAAACCCAGUGCUUGCACUGGGGGUUGUAGGACUGCAAUGUGCAAGAGGUGAGUUUAGCAGAACAUUCUGGAAAGUAUAGCCAUAGAGGGUGAUAGUCCCGUAUGCGAAAAACAAACCUUAGCUAGCAGUAUCCUGAGUAGGGCGGGACACGAGAAAUCCUGUCUGAAGCUGGGUCGACCACGAUCCAACCCUAAAUACUAAUACCAGAUCGAUAGUGCACAAGUACCGUGAGGGAAAGGUGAAAAGAACUGAGGUGAUCAGAGUGAAAUAGAACCUGAAACCAUUUGCUUACAAUCAUUCAGAGCCCUAUGUAGCAAUACAGGGUGAUGGACUGCCUUUUGCAUAAUGAGCCUGCGAGUUGUGGUGUCUGGCAAGGUUAAGCAAACGCGAAGCCGUAGCGAAAGCGAGUCUGAAUAGGGCGCUUAGUCAGAUGCUGCAGACCCGAAACGAAGUGAUCUAUCCAUGAGCAAGUUGAAGCUAGUGUAAGAACUAGUGGAGGACUGAACCCAUAGGCGUUGAAAAGCCCCGGGAUGACUUGUGGAUAGGGGUGAAAGGCCAAUCAAACUUCGUGAUAGCUGGUUCUCUCCGAAAUAUAUUUAGGUAUAGCGUUGUGUCGUAAUAUAAGGGGGUAGAGCACUGAAUGGGCUAGGGCAUACACCAAUGUACCAAACCCUAUCAAACUCCGAAUACCUUAUAUGUAAUCACAGCAGUCAGGCGGCGAGUGAUAAAAUCCGUCGUCAAGAGGGAAACAACCCAGACUACCAGCUAAGGUCCCUAAAUCUUACUUAAGUGGAAAACGAUGUGAAGUUACUUAAACAACCAGGAGGUUGGCUUAGAAGCAGCCAUCCUUUAAAGAAAGCGUAAUAGCUCACUGGUCUAGUGAUUUUGCGCGGAAAAUAUAACGGGGCUAAAGUAAGUACCGAAGCUGUAGACUUAGUUUACUAAGUGGUAGGAGAGCGUUCUAUUUGCGUCGAAGGUAUACCGGUAAGGAGUGCUGGAGCGAAUAGAAGUGAGCAUGCAGGCAUGAGUAGCGAUAAUUAAUGUGAGAAUCAUUAACGCCGUAAACCCAAGGUUUCCUACGCGAUGCUCGUCAUCGUAGGGUUAGUCGGGUCCUAAGUCGAGUCCGAAAGGGGUAGACGAUGGCAAAUUGGUUAAUAUUCCAAUACCAACAUUAGUGUGCGAUGGAAGGACGCUUAGGGCUAAGGGGGCUAGCGGAUGGAAGUGCUAGUCUAAGGUCGUAGGAGGUUAUACAGGCAAAUCCGUAUAACAAUACUCCGAGAACUGAAAGGCUUUUUGAAGUCUUCGGAUGGAUAGAAGAACCCCUGAUGCCGUCGAGCCAAGAAAAGUUUCUAAGUUUAGCUAAUGUUGCCCGUACCGUAAACCGACACAGGUGGGUGGGAUGAGUAUUCUAAGGCGCGUGGAAGAACUCUCUUUAAGGAACUCUGCAAAAUAGCACCGUAUCUUCGGUAUAAGGUGUGGUUCGCUUCGUAUUAGGAUUUACUCCGAAAGCGAAGAAACUUACAACAAAGAGUCCCUCCCGACUGUUUACCAAAAACACAGCACUCUGCUAACUCGUAAGAGGAUGUAUAGGGUGUGACGCCUGCCCGGUGCUCGAAGGUUAAUUGAUGGGGUUAGCAUUAGCGAAGCUCUUGAUCGAAGCCCGAGUAAACGGCGGCCGUAACUAUAACGGUCCUAAGGUAGCGAAAUUCCUUGUCGGUUAAAUACCGACCUGCAUGAAUGGCGUAACGAGAUGGGAGCUGUCUCAAAGAGGGAUCCAGUGAAAUUGUAGUGGAGGUGAAAAUUCCUCCUACCCGCGGCAAGACGGAAAGACCCCGUGGACCUUUACUAUAACUUGACACUGCUAUUUGGAUAAGAAUGUGC
rnacentral:rRNA from 1 species